AAUAAGUGGAACUCUAAGUGCCAGUGCCAGAGAUCAAAGGAAGACUCAACCAUGCAGGCUAGCGCUGCUCUAUGCCAAAAGGACCCAGGAGACUUGAAGAUACCAACGCUUGGAGAGCCCAGGGGACCCUCUGCUCCCUCAUGAGGGCAAGUUGCUUCUCUCCUUAUUAUGACAGUCUAGACUUCUUAGCCGGAGUAGCCCAGCUCUUCGGGCGUUCCUCGGGACACUGUGUGGGAAAGUUCAAGGGAUACAAGAUGAAAAGGCAUCCUGUGAGCAAAGUCCUUCUGCCCGGGAGAGGCGUGAACCUUUAUCCAGGUGCCAGCCAUUUCAUCCCACUGAAGAUCGGAGGUUGAUGUCAUUUCAUUCGCAGGACGAGGGAAGGAGUCUUGAAAUGGAAUUCUCGUCACUCUGAGGCUGCGAAUGAACUCUGCCAUCCACAGUCAGCUACCUACAUGCCCUGGAGGCUGGGGUAGCACUAUGACCAGAUCCCUCUCACUGCAGGUGCAAGGGCUCACCAAGGGUUGAUGAGAAGAAAGAAAGAAGUCUGUAUGUUUUGGGCCUUUAUCAUUGGACACUUAAGUACAGUUCAAUGUUUCUUGAGAGAGAUAAGAGCCAGAAAGUUCCAGCAAGAAGCAGGUCUCCUUUAGAAGAGUGGGCUAAUCUUGCUUGACCUUGACUUCCCAGAAUGAGACCCUCUGAACAGCUUUGAAACAGCUUCUAGGAUGGCCAUGACCAGGCUCCUGUGUCAAAACAACUCCUCGCGCUGCGACUGUCCAGAGAACCAAGCAAGUGGAGCAGGGCUGGAGUCACAGAAGCUUCAGCCAACUGGAGAAAGAGCAUUUGAAGCAAGUCAGAAUUCUUUCAGAUGUGCUGUGAUCAAGAAGAAAAAGAUUGGUGGGAGAAAAAUGGGAACUGUGUAAGGAAAAUUAGCUGGCUGUGGUAUGCGGAAGGGGCCCUAAAGUCUACUUCAGCAUCUAAGUCUAAUGAGUGCAUCUCUCUUUGUGCAGUGAGAAGUGAAUAGUGAGGGGAGGACAAAGGGAUGGGAAGAGGGGAAAGCUUUUUUCUGUUUUUGGCAGAGAGAAUGAAAGGGCCCUUGACUGCUUCAGUGGCCAUGCUGCAAUAAAAGUGUAGGUGAAGCUCUUCUCACUAAGAAUAGGGGCACUGGAAAGACAGGAGGGUCCUGUCUGCAGCAAAGGUCUUAGAGGAACCCUGAACAUAGCAGACUUUAUGUGGAGCUGUAUGAAUUAGUUUGCACUGAGUAACAAAUCAUCUCCAACCUCAGUGGCUUAAAGCAACAACCGCUUACUGAAAUGACGGCUCUGUGGGCUGGCUGGGCCAUUCUUUGGUCUGGGCCAGCUUGGCUGAGCUCCGCUGGGCUGCGCACCUGCCAUCAGCGGGCAAAUCGGCUGGCAGUUGAAUGAAUGAGGGUGGCAUCACUCACAGGUCUGGUGGCCAGUAGGCUGUUAGCAAGAGUUAUGUGACCGGGCCACAUGCCUCUCAUCAUCCUGUGGGCUAGCAUGGGUUUGUUUAUGGGGCAGCGGAUUUCUAGGAGCUGCAUGAGAGGGAGUGGCAAAGCCCCUUGGGGCCUAGGCUGAAAGCUGCACAUUUUCACUUCCAAUGCAUUCUAUUGAUCAAAGGCCAGCUAGAGUGACCACCUGUCCUAGUUUGCCCAGCGCUGAGGGGUUUCCCAGGACACAGGACUUUCAGUACAAAAAUUGGGAGAGUUCUGAACAAACCAGGACAGUUGGUCACUCUAACGGCCAGCCCAGGUGCAAAGAACGGGGGACUUGACCUUUCUCCAAAGAAGAUAUAAAAUGACCAAUAAACACACGAAAAGAUGUGCAACAUCACUAAUAAUUAGGAAAAUGCACAUCAAAGCCACAGUGAGAUGCCACUUCAUACUCAUUAGGAUGGCUAUUAUCCAAAAAACAGAAAAUAACAAGUGUUAGAGAAUGUGGAGAAAUUGGAACAUUUGUGUAUUGCUGGUGGGAAUGUAAAAUGAUGCAGGCACUGUGGGAAACAUUAUGGCGAUUCCUCAAAAAAGUAAACACAAAAUUACUGUAUGAUCCAGCAAUUCCAGUUCUGGGUAUAUACCCAAAAGAAUUGAAAGCAGGGACUUCAACAGAUAUUUGUACACCCCUGUACAUAGCAGCAUUAUUCACAAUAGCCAAAAGGUGAAAGUGUCUAAUGGUUAAUCCAAGUGUGAGUGGAUAAACAAAAUGUGGUUUUUGUGUACAAUGGAAUUAUUAUUCAGUCUUAAAAAGGAAGGAAAUCCUGUCACAUGCUACAACGUGGAUGAACCUGGAAGACAUUUUGGUAAUUGAAAUAAGCUAAUCGGAAAGAAAAA